rnacentral:rRNA from 1 species
AUUGAACGCUGGCGGCAUGCCUUACACAUGCAAGUCGAACGGCAGCACGGGAGCAAUCCUGGUGGCGAGUGGCGAACGGGUGAGUAAUAUAUCGGAACGUGCCCAGUAGUGGGGGAUAACUGCUCGAAAGAGCAGCUAAUACCGCAUACGACCUAAGGGUGAAAGGGGGGGAUCGCAAGACCUCUCGCUAUUGGAGCGGCCGAUAUCAGAUUAGCUAGUUGGUGGGGUAAAGGCCUACCAAGGCAACGAUCUGUAGUUGGUCUGAGAGGACGACCAGCCACACUGGGACUGAGACACGGCCCAGACUCCUACGGGAGGCAGCAGUGGGGAAUUUUGGACAAUGGGCGCAAGCCUGAUCCAGCAAUGCCGCGUGCAGGAAGAAGGCCUUCGGGUUGUAAACUGCUUUUGUCAGGGAAGAAAUCCUCUAGGUUAAUACCCUUGGGGGGAUGACGGUACCUGAAGAAUAAGCACCGGCUAACUACGUGCCAGCAGCCGCGGUAAAAC